rnacentral:lncRNA from 1 species
AUGUUCCAGCCAUCCUUCACACAGACCUUAAGUGAAAUUAAUGAGAUCACUCUACAAUUACGCUUUGUGUUUUAUUUUCACUUUCUAGGUCUGUAUGAGCUGUUGGCUGUUGUGCGAGGCCAGCUGGGGCCACAUGUGGACAGCCAGGAAGACCUGACCUUUCUCUGGGAUAUGUUUGGUGAGAAAAGCCUGCAUUCACUGGUAAAGGUCUGCUCUCCACUUGGCCUGUGCCAAAGGCCAUG